AACGCUGGCGGCGUGCUUUAUACAUGCAAGUCGAACGAGGACCGGGUGCUUGCACCUGGAGCCGAGUGGCGAACGGGUGAGUAACACGUGACCAAUCUACCCUUGGGAGAGGGAUAACCUGGGGAAACCCGGGCUAAUACCACAUGACGUGCAGCCAUCGCAUGAUGGCGGCAUCAAAGGGGGCCUCUACAUGUAAGCUCUCGCCCAGGGAGGAGGUCGCGGCGUAUCAGCUUGUUGGUGGGGUAACGACCUACCAAGGCUACGACGCGUAGCGGGUCUGAGAGGGUGAUCCGUCACAUUGGGACUGAGAUACGGCCCAGACUCCUACGGGAGGCAGCAGUAGGGAAUAUUGCGCAAUGGUCGAAAGACUGACGCAGCGACGCCGCGUGUGGGAGGAAGCCUCUCGGGGUGUAAACCACUGUCAGAUGGGAAGAACACCGCAUGUCCGAACAGGGCAUGCGCAUGACGGUACCAUCAGAGGAAGCGCCGGCUAACUCCGUGCCAGCAGCCGCGGUAAGACGGGGGGCGCAAGCGUUGUUCGGAAUUACUGGGCGUAAAGCGCGGGCAGGUGGUUCGUUAAGUCUUUUGUGAAACUCCGGG
rnacentral:rRNA from 1 species